rnacentral:rRNA from 1 species
CGGUUAAAAAGCUCGUAGUUGGAUCUCGGAGUGUGAGUGAAUGGUCGAUCGAAAGAUUGUACUGUUCGGCACACUCUUCUCUUCGGUUGCGUGUGUAGUGCCCUUAACUGAGUGCUGCACUCGACCGGAAUUUUUACCUUGAAAAAAUUAGAGUGUUCAAAGCAGACCUGAUUAUGUCUGAAUAUUCGUGCAUGGAAUAAUAAAAUAAGAACUUGGUUCUAUUUUAUUGGUUUUCGGAACUCGAGUUAAUGAUUAAGAGGGACAGACGGGGGCAUCCGUACUCUGCCGUUAGAGGUGAAAUUCUUGGAUCGGCGGAAGACGCGCAACUGCGAAAGCAUUUGCCAAGAAUGUUUUCUUUAAUCAAGAACGAAAGUCGGAGGUUCGAAGACGAUCAGAUACCGUCCUAGUUUCGACUGUAAACUAUGCCAGCUAACGAUCAGACAGCGUUCUCUACGACUUGUCUGGCAGUUUCCGGGAAACCAAAGCUUUUGGGUUCCGGGGGAAGUAUGGUUGCAAAGCUGAAACUUAAAGGAAUUGACGGAAGGGCACCACCAGGAGUGGAGCCUGCGGCUUAAUUUGACUCAACACGGGGAAACUCACCCGGCCCGGACACAGUGAGGAUUGACAGAUUGAGAGU